GACGAACGCUGGCGGCGUGCCUAAUACAUGCAAGUAGAACGCUGAAGGAGGAGCUUGCUCUUCUGGAUGAGUUGCGAACGGGUGAGUAACGCGUAGGUAACCUGCCUGGUAGCGGGGGAUAACUAUUGGAAACGAUAGCUAAUACCGCAUAACAGUAGAUGUUGCAUGACAUUUACUUAAAAGGUGCAAUUGCAUCACUACCAGAUGGACCUGCGUUGUAUUAGCUAGUUGGUGGGGUAACGGCUCACCAAGGCGACGAUACAUAGCCGACCUGAGAGGGUGAUCGGCCACAAUGGGACUGAGACACGGCCCAGACUCCUACGGGAGGCAGCAGUAGGGAAUCUUCGGCAAUGGACGGAAGUCUGACCGAGCAACGCCGCGUGAGUGAAGAAGGUUUUCGGAUCGUAAAGCUCUGUUGUAAGAGAAGAACGAGUGUGAGAGUGGAAAGUUCACACUGUGACGGUAUCUUACCAGAAAGGGACGGCUAACUACGUG
rnacentral:rRNA from 1 species